UUAAUUGGGCGUUAAGUUGCAGGGUAUAGACCCGAAACCCGGUGAUCUAGCCAUGGGCAGGUUGAAGGUUGGGUAACACUAACUGGAGGACCGAACCGACUAAUGUUGAAAAAUUAGCGGAUGACCUGUGGCUGGGGGUGAAAGGCCAAUCAAACCGGGAGAUAGCUGGUUCUCCCCGAAAGCUAUUUAGGUAGCGCCUCGUGAAUUCAUCUCCGGGGGUAGAGCACUGUUUCGGCUAGGGGGCCAUCCCGGCUUACCAACCCGAUGCAAACUGCGAAUACCGGAGAAUGUUAUCACGGGAGACACACGGCGGGUGCUAACGUCCGUCGUGAAGAGGGAAACAACCCAGACCGCCAGCUAAGGUCCCAAAGUCAUGGUUAAGUGGGAAACGAUGUGGGAAGGCCCAGACAGCCAGGAUGUUGGCUUAGAAGCAGCCAUCAUUUAAAGAAAGCGUAAUAGCUCACUGGUCGAGUCGGCCUGCGCGGAAGAUGUAACGGGGCUAAACCAUGCACCGAAG
rnacentral:rRNA from 1 species